CUUUAAUGAUGGAGUGCUGGAUAAGUUUGGUGCUGAGGGUCUUUCCAAAAGGCUGAUGGCGUUUUAAUCAGUUGUUUUCUCCCCCUACAGAAGCAAGGACCGUGAGGUCGCCAAGGGACAGUGGUCAUUCCAGGAAAGCGUUUUGAUUAAAACGUCAAAGUGUCCUGGGUUGUCCUUUUACCCAAGAUGCACCGGGGCGCUGUCAGUGUGGCUCGGCCGUGUGCACGUGAUGAGGAGAAAGCACUCAUCCUCCGGUCUGUGCAGACAGACAUCCCUUCAUCCGCAGGAACAUGUGUAGCUACAUAUUUGGUCAGCAAGCAGCUACACAUCCUUUCAGACCCACAGCGCUGAGUCAUCCUCUCAUGCGUGACUUCUUGCUCAUUGUCUUUAUACCUAUAGGGCUACAGUGUAUAAUGAAAAACCUGUUUUGCUUGUUCAGUGUUAAAAUAACUGGUAAUUAUCCAACAGUAUUAUAACAUGGACGUUACUGAGUAGUGAAUUAGACACUACAAUUAGCACAUUUACACAAUACAAGCAAGUAAUCACUGGAUUGCUAAAUACAAUAACAGUACAAUGAUAUGCACCAAAAUACGUUUGUGAUACAGACACUUAAAUAAACUAUCUGUCCAAAAGUAUCCGCACAGCCCUUUUGAUGAGUCAGUUCGGCUACUUUAAGGUCACCCACUGCUGGCACAACUUGUAUAAUCUCCAUAGAAAAGCACUGACCAAUAGAAUGGGAUGCUCUGGAGCGGGCUAAGGUCACCAUGGCCAGGGCCAUGUGUGGGCUAGAGGGGUAUAAAUCCCGACAGCAUUGGGCUGUGGAGUGAUGGAGUGGAACUGUGUUCUCUGGAGUGAUGGAGCUCCAUCCAGUACCUUUGGGAUGAGCUGGAGUGAUACAGAGCUGACCACCCAACACCAGUACCUGACCUCACUAAUGCUCAAUCAAAUCCUCACAGUACAUACAUGUGUGUAUAUUUAAAAUUUAUACAUACAUACAUUUGCAGCCCUUUAGUUUCCAUUCAUCCCAUUAUAUGUAUUUAUUUUUCAUUGGUUCUCUUUAGGGCGGCACGGUGGCGUAGUGGGUAGCGCUGUCGCCUCACAGCGAGGAGGGCCUGGGUUCGAUUCCCCAGCCGGGCAACCAGGGU
ensembl:lncRNA